CGGAUUGUAGUCUGCAACUCGACUACAUGAAGCUGGAAUCGCUAGUAAUCGCGGAUCAGAAUGCCGCGGUGAAUACGUUCCCGGGUCUUGUACACACCGCCCGUCACACCAUGGGAGUCAGUAACGCCCGAAGUCAGUGACCCAACCGGUAAAGGGGGGAGCUGCCGAAGGCGGGACGGAUAACUGGGGUGAAGUCGUAACAAGGUAGC
rnacentral:rRNA from 1 species